AACGUAGGAGACAAACGUUAUCCGGAGUUAUUGGGCGUAAAGGGCGCGUAGGCGGCCACGCACGUCCGUUGUGAAAUCGCCCGGCUCAACUGGGCGGGGUCAGCGGAUACGGUGUGGCUCGAGCAAGCUAGGGGGCAAUGGAAUUCCCGGUGUAGUGGUGGAAUGCGUAGAUAUCGGGAGGAACACCAGUGGCGAAGGCGGUUGCCUGGAGCUUUGCUGACGCUGAGGCGCGAAAGCGUGGGGAGCGAUCCGG
rnacentral:rRNA from 1 species